UACGUAGGCAGCAAGCGUUGUUCGGAGUUACUGGGCGUAAAGGGUGUGUAGGCGGUUCUUUAAGUUUGGUGUGAAAUCUCCCGGCUCAACUGGGAGGUGCGCCGAAUACUGAGGGACUAGAGUACGGGAGAGGAAAGUGGAAUUCCUGGUGUAGCGGUGAAAUGCGUAGAUAUCAGGAGGAACACCGGUGGUGUAGACGGCUUUCUGGACCGUAACUGACGCUGAAACACGAAAGCGUGGGUAGCAAACAGG
rnacentral:rRNA from 1 species